AAAACUUUCAACAACGGAUCUCUUGGUUCCAGCAUCGAUGAAGAACGCAGCGAAAUGCGAUAAGUAAUGUGAAUUGCAGAAUUCAGUGAAUCAUCGAAUCUUUGAACGCACAUUGCGCCCCUCGGUAUUCCGGGGGGCAUGCCUGUUCGAGCGGUCAUU
rnacentral:rRNA from 1 species